CCUUUAGUGAGGAUAUAUUGGAGGGCAAGUCUGGAGCCAGCAGCCGCGGUACUUCCAGCUCCAAUAGAGAAGUUGUUGCGGUUAAAAAGCUAGUAGUUGGUACUACGUGCCACGCUGUCGGCUCACCGCCUGACGGGCAACUGAUUUGUCAUGGCAUGUCCUGUCGGCGGCUUACGGGCUUCGUGGCGCGCCCUACUCGCUCACGCGUGUUGUCCUCGAUGGCUGACUCAAUCCUAUCGCGGUGCUCUUAAACGAGUGUCGAGGUAGGCCGACACUGUUUACUUUGAACAAAUUAGAGUGCUUCAAGCAGGCUCUGAAAGCAGCCUGAAUAGUGGGGCAUGGAAUAAUGGAACAGGACUUUGGUUCUUUCUUGUUGGUUUUCGGAAUCCAAGAUAAUGAUCGAUAAGAACAGGCGGGGGCAUUCGUAUUGCAAAUAUGUGUUGCAAUUACGUUAGAAGUGAAAUGCUUGGAUCGUCGCAAGAUACACUAUAGCGAAAGGAUUUGCCAAUUAUGUCUUCAUUUAUGAAGAUCGAAUGUUAGAGGUUCGAAGGCGAUCAGAUACCGCCCUAGAUACCACAAACAGUGCCAAAAAAGACCAUAAACAGUGCCAGCCAGCUUUCUCCGGGAAGCCAAAGCUUUUCGGUUCCGGGGGAAGUAUGGUUGCAAAGCUGAAACGUGUAAAGGAAUUAACGGAAGGGCACCACCAGGAGUGGAGCCUGUGGUUUAAUUUGACUCAACACGGGAAACCUUACUAGGCCCGAACAUUGGAAGGAUUGACAGAUCGAUAGCUCUUUCUCGAUUCAGUGGGUAGUGGUGCAUGGCCGUUCUUAGUUGGUGGACUGAUUUGUCUGGUUAAUUCCGAUAACGAACGAGACUCUGACCUAUUAACUAGGCGCUCCCGGUAUAAAUACCUACCGGCGACAAUUAUUCUUCUUAAGGGGACAGGCGGCUCUCAGCCGCACGAGAUUGAGCAAUAACAGGUCUGUGAUGCCCUUAGAUGUUCUGGGCCGCACGCGCGCUACACUGAAGGAAUCAGCGUGUUCUCCCCUGUCCGAAAGGUCCGGGCAACCCGCUGAACCUCCUUCGUGCUAGGAAUUGGGGCUUGUAAUUGUUCCCUAUUAAAAUUUAUAACAUUAACCUUUAUCUAGUUCUUGUAGGCAGGCUAACAUGCAAUAGAAAUAGAAUGCCACAUUUAAACAAUAAUUUUGAUUUGCUAUCUUGGAUGUAGAGCGGAAUUACUCAAUUUUAGAGUAAAAUCGUGGAUACAUGACAGUAUCGAUAACAUUUCUUGUAUAUUUUUAA
rnacentral:rRNA from 1 species